rfam:Megasphaera elsdenii strain DSM 20460 draft genome
UAUUCAUCCAGAGCAGCCGAGGGACUGGCCCGAUGACGCUGCGGCAACCUACGUAGGUAAGGUGCCAAUUCCAGCAGGAACAACCUGGCAGAUGAAGU